ACACUGCCCGCCGUGUAAUGCUGUAAUCUCCCCACCGGAGCACGAAGCAAACUCGAGUGGGACUCAGCCCGGAGCAGACGUGGGAGGCAAAGAGCAAAGAGCAGCACCGAGACAGGUCCUGAGACCUGAAGACUGACCUGGGCCGCCGAGAUGAACCGGGACAGUGGCCAGAGCUGGACUUUGUGGAGGGCAGGACCUGCAUUAAGAGGUGCUGUGCUGAGCCCUGGGCGUGGCUUCUCCUGCUGCAGCCUCACAACCACCCUAGGAGGUUUUCAGAGGCAACAAAGAAGCAGAAAGAUCUUCGAAAUAUAUGAUAGAUGGUACAACACCAGCUGCUACCCACCCCACCUAAGUGUGCCCGGCUGUGCUGGGUGGGCCCUUUCUGUGCAUCAGCUACUCAAACUUGAACGUGAUCCUAGCCACCUGGAGGGCUUGUUAAAACACAGAGCUCCUGAUUCAGUAAAUUCAUUCUUAGCUGCGUAACGGAAUACCACAGAAUGAGGGGCUUAGCAACACCCGCUUAUUAGCUGACAGGUCAGUAGUCAGAAGUCUGGGUGCGGCACGGCUGGCUUCUCUGCUCCAGGUUGUGUAAGGAUGGAAUCAAGUCCUAGGCUGGGCUCCUUCCUUUCUGGCGGCUGGGCAAGAGUCUGCAUCUGCCAACACGCAGAGCCCCGUUUUCUGUCAUCCCUCCUGAAGGCCACUUACAGCCUUGCCACUUGUCCCCUCCUCCUUCCAGCCAGCCACCAGGCAUCUCAUGUCAACCCUGAUUUCAGAAAAAGCCUGGUCUCUUUCAAGGGCUCAGCCCGGUUGAUCUCCCUUGCACAAACUGGGCGGUGUAGCAGAACCUAGUCAUGGGUAAAAUUCGUCAUGGCCGUCAUCCUGGGGAUUAUUCCCGGCAUGCCUCCCACCCCCGUCCCCCCCUCCCCGCUAGGAAAGGGAAUUGUGGGCCGUUCUAGAACUCUGCCGGCUACAGUAGGUGGGGCGAACAUUUGCGCUUGUAACAAAUUCCCAGCUAAAGAGAUGCUGCUGCUCUGGAAAUGGCAUUGCCAGAGAACGACUUACCUGUGUUCGCUCCUUGCACCGCCUUCGGCUUACAUUGUGCCUAAUUUACAAACAGGACACUGAGUGUUUUAACUCUAGAGGUAACGUUCAAAGUUUAUAGCAACUAGUAUCUCGUGGGCCCAACCAAUCAGAAGCAACGUCAAGGUGAUCGGGAGGGGUUCUGGCCGUGUGUAACCGCUGUGCCCUUGCUGGUCCGCACCUGCUGCCCAAGGACCCCCUGCAAGAGGGGGUUGGAGCCAGCACCCAGACCAGAGCUGGGGCUUGGCUGCUCCAUAAGCUAAGAUGAAUGAGAAAAUGCCCCACCAAGGCUAAGUCAGGAGAAGAGGAAUAAAGAGACGGUUUACUGAUUCCCAAAC
rnacentral:lncRNA from 1 species